rnacentral:rRNA from 1 species
AUUGAACGCUGGCGGCAUGCCUUACACAUGCAAGUCGAACGGUAACGGGCCUUCGGGUGCCGACGAGUGGCGAACGGGUGAGUAAUGUAUCGGAACGUACCUUUCAGUGGGGGAUAACGUAGCGAAAGUUACGCUAAUACCGCAUAUUCUGUGAGCAGGAAAGCAGGGGAUCGCAAGACCUUGCGCUGAUUGAGCGGCCGAUAUCAGAUUAGAUAGCUGGUGAGGUAAAAGCUCACCAAGGCGACGAUCUGUAGCGGGUCUGAGAGGAUGAUCCGCCACACUGGAACUGAGACACGGUCCAGACUCCUACGGGAGGCAGCAGUGGGGAAUUUUGGACAAUGGGGGCAACCCUGAUCCAGCCAUGCCGCGUGAGUGAAGAAGGCCUUCGGGUUGUAAAGCUCUUUCGGCCGGGAAGAAAUCGUAUCAGCUAAUACCUGGUGCGGAUGACGGUACCGGCAUAAGAAGCACCGGCUAACUACGUGCCAGCCGCCGCAGUAAAAC